rnacentral:rRNA from 1 species
UACGUAGGGUGCAAGCGUUUAAUCGGAAUUACUGGGCGUAAAGCGUGCGCAGGCGGUUAUGUAAGACAGUUGUGAAAUCCCCGGGCUCAACCUGGGAACUGCAUUUGUGACUGCAUAGCUAGAGUACGGUAGAGGGGGAUGGAAUUCCGCGUGUAGCAGUGAAAUGCGUAGAUAUGCGGAGGAACACCGAUGGCGAAGGCAAUCCCCUGGACCUGUACUGACGCUCAUGCACGAAAGCGUGGGGAGCAAACAGG